GGCCCGGCCCGGCUGGGGCAGGAGGGGCGGGGCGGGGCGGGGCUGCUCCGCACCGCCUGAAUAUUCACGCAGCUGCACACCAAGUGCCUAUCGGGUGCCACACGCAGCGGCGGUGCCGGGGCUGUGCUCAUUACGUACGUUACCACCCAGACCAUAUUGUUACCGCGAAGCAACUGCUGGCGUAACACAAACUGGACAUGCGAAUUGCCCGAGCAGAUCCCACUUGCAAGGCUCUCACGUACGAAAGGCGACAUGGACGUGUUCAAGCGACGCGCCAGCAAUCGGGAGGUGGCGCGCGCUUCUCGCCGUACUGCGCGCGGAAGAUCGCCGAGAAGGUCGUCACCACGGCCGUCGUCGUCGUCGUCGUCGUCGUCGUCGUCGUCGUCUUUUUGGCGCCCAAGAGCCCCUUUUAAGGCGGACCGCCAUCUUGAGCCGGACUGAUUGACAGCAGAAUCGCACCGCGCGGCAAAAUAACAACAGGCUCGAUACUCCCGCGUAAACUUCAUCAGGGCACACAGCAUUUCACGACAAUCCCGGCAGAGAACGGAAGCACGCCAGUCUCCCUCUCCGACGCCGCGCCGCCUCCUCUACCCGCCACGACGAGCGCGACAUCUGACGGAUCCAGUGGGAACUGCCUCCACUACCGCAGCCGCCGCCUUGACAGAGCGGCCUGCAGGGGCGUGUGAACCCCGAGGGAGGGAGAGCAAUGCGAAGGAGAUGGGGACGGGAGGAGUGGACAGGCAAGAGGGAGGGAGAAGGAACGUCGAUCGCUUAGACUUUUCAGCCUCGGCAGCGGCGCAGGUCCCAACAGCUGCCGCCGCCGCUGCCGCCGCUGCCGGGGACAGGGGACGGAUGGAUAGGUAAAUGGAUGGACGCUAUUCCAUUCCACCGUCUCCAAUAAUUGCUGGCGAGCCGAGCCCGAGCUCGCUGGACUCUUCUCGUAUGCAAAGCGGCCGCUGCAGAGCGUCGCGAAACUGUCCGUCCAGCGCGUCUAAUGAAGGGCGCUGCCGGGGAAGGGAGGAGGGGCGCGGCAUUCAACCGCUCAGCUGGAGAUGGAUGGGCUGCUAGGAGCUUUAUUGGUGGCAGGAAAAGGGGCUGAAAGAUCUGGACGGUAUGUAGUGUUGUCUUAUAGCUCAAAAGGUUUUUUGAAUGAUGCUCGACGUCACAUAUAUGUACUUCGAGGGAGCCCCAAGUCAACGUGAUGUGUUUAUUGCGCGAGGAUCCAUGUAGACCACGUAUCGCGAGGCGGCCACGUGCAGGCGCAGCCCGCCCCUCCGCUUCCGGCGGCCUUUUCUUCUUUGAUUUCACACCUGGUGCUGAAUCAUACGACGAACGCACGCUACCUCGUGAAUGCACCAUUCGACCGGAAAGACACUGGUCAGCCCGAUCGGAGCGCUGCAUAAACUUUGGCCCCGGUAGCCCGCCAGCCAUUGUGUGAGCGCGGGGGAGCGCUGGGCGCCCGGGGGUUAGGCAACCCGAGGACAGCGGUGCGCGUGGCCUGCAUGGGCUGCCUACCUCGCAGGCGGGCUGGAGCCAUCGCAUGAAUGCGUGAAUGCGACACCAACGCAAAUCCUUAAAAUGAAAAUGGUUCUUAAUCCACUUUCGGCAGUCUUUUCUUUGAUUUGACACUGACAAAAACAGAGUGCGAUCAUACAGACUGAAGCACCCCCACGCGGAAUAGGACAGGAAAACGACACGAAAGGCUGAAGGAUGGGUCUACAUUUUUAUAUGCCUUUGAUAAACGAAAGCAGAGCGCCUGUAAACGGACUGAAAUACCCCAAAAAUUGAGUGCGUUUCCUAUUCGCAAAGGCCCGCACGCGCGAGUCACUAACGCGAUAACUUGUGGAGACGAGGUGGUGCCAUUUCCUGAAGGCAGCGCGGCGAGGAGGGAGAGAGGAGGGCGAAGGGGAAGGCUGAAUGAGCAAUAAGUAAGGCGGUGUGAGCCUGUAGUGCGAACAGCUCCCUCUGUCGCACUCGUGGUCGAGGCCCGAUUGUGAGAGAGAUAGACAGAUGCGCGAAAGACAAACUCCGCCAUGAUGGCCUGAGGUAUCAUUCACUGUCCCACUCGCGGCGAGCGGCGAGGGUCCUUUAUUUACGUAAUCAGUCGGCCAGUGAGACAGUCAGUGCAAACACUGGGUGGUCGAACACCGGCAGCUGAGUAAGUUUUAUUUGAACUCAAGCGCUCUUUCUGCACACCUACACUGGAAAAACAAAGGUAGAACUCAAAAGGUUUUAAUGUGUUUAAAAGGGCAUUUAGGCAUACCAUUUUUCCCAGUGUAUCUAAAAGGAGAAGUAAGGAGGACAAAUAGUAUUCGAAACAAACAACCGAAACUGCACAUAUAAAAUCGUCUUUCCCAUUACCCUUCCCUACAUCGAUAAAAAAAAGUGUGCACUUUUGCACACUUUAAGUGUGAUCUCCACUAAUGAGCACACACGUUACGGUAUUUAAUCAUAUCGCACACUCGAGCGCACAGUGCAUAGUGUGCAAAGUCCGUACCGAAAGAAGAAACGUGUUCUUAUCGCAAGAAAUGCUCUUGAAGCGUGCAAGAACAUUUA